rnacentral:tRNA from 1 species
GGGCCCGUAGUCUAGCUCGGAUAGGACGCAGGCCUGCGGAGCCUGUGACUCGGGUUCGAAUCCCGACGGGCCCGCCA